AAAUUGAAGAGUUUGAUCAUGGCUCAGAUUGAACGCUGGCGGCAGGCCUAACACAUGCAAGUCGAACGGUAACAGGAAACAGCUUGCUGUUUCGCUGACGAGUGGCGGACGGGUGAGUAAUGUCUGGGAAACUGCCUGAUGGAGGGGGAUAACUACUGGAAACGGUAGCUAAUACCGCAUAACGUCGCAAGACCAAAGAGGGGGACCCUCGGGCCUCUUGCCAUCGGAUGUGCCCAGAUGGGAUUAGCUUGUUGGUGGGGUAACGGCUCACCAAGGCGA
rnacentral:rRNA from 1 species